UACGUAGGGCGCAAGCGUUGUCCGGAGUUACUGGGCGUAAAGCGCACGCAGGCGGUCUGCUAAGUUUGGAGUGACAGUUGGUGGCUUAACUGCCAAAGUGCUUCGAAAACUGACAGACUUGAGGGCUUCAGAGGGACGCGGAAUUCCGGGUGGAGUGGUGAAAUGCGUAGAGAUCCGGAGGAACACCAAAGGCGAAGGCAGUGUCCUGGGGAGUACCUGACGCUCAGGUGCGAAAGCCAGGGGAGCGAACGGG
rnacentral:rRNA from 1 species